CUACUGAGGGUGCAAGCGUUAAUCGGAAUUACUGGGCGUAAAGCGCACGUAGGCGGUUUAUUAAGUCAGAUGUGAAAGCCCUGGGCUUAACCUGGGAACUGCAUUUGAGACUGGUAGGCUAGAGUAUGGUAGAGGAUAGUGGAAUUCCGGGUGUAGCGGUGAAAUGCGUAGAUAUCCGGAGGAAAAUCAGUGGCGAAGGCGGCUAUCUGGACCAAUACUGACGCUGAGGUGCGAAAGCGUGGGGAGCAAACAGAAUUAGAUACCCGAGUAGUCC
rnacentral:rRNA from 1 species